UGAGGCAAGCCAGUAAAGAACAUCCCUCCAUGGCCUCUGCAUCAGCUCCUGCUUCCUGACCUGCUUGAGUUCCAGUCCUGGCUUCCGUGGUGAUGAACAGCAGUAUGGAAGUGUAAGCCGAAUAAACCCUUUCCUCCCCAACUUGUUUCUUGGUCAUGAUGUUUGUGCAGGAAUAGAAACCCUGACUAAGACAAAUUGGUACCAGCAGAGUGGGGUAUUCCUGUGACAACCUGACCAAUGUUUUGGGGAGGACUGUGGAAGGACUUUGGAACUUUGGGCUUGAAGAUCCACCCGUUGUUAAAAGCUCUGUCAGAUGUUGUGUAGGAGCUUGGAAGAUAAUGUUGAGAACACUGCAGAAGAUGGAGGUCUGGUUUGUGAAAUUUCAGAGGGAAAAUUAAAGACUCUUUUCAGGGCCAUUGCUGUUUUGAUUGUGAAGAUUCUGUAGUUCUGGUUAGCUGGGGCUGAAGAAUCAGCUGUGAUUAACAAGAUACCAGAACUACUAAAGCAAAAACUUUGCAUUACUGGGACUAUUGAUGCUGGUUAGCUGGAGUUAAGAAAUUAGCAGUGAUUAAGAAGAGACCAGCAUCAUUGAGGUGACAUCUUCUGGGAAGUGUUUUCUGAGAGCACAGUGGCUGUGUUCCAGAUAUAGCCAAAGUUGUACCUUGUGCUGUGGCUGGACUUGGUAAUGUAUAAGGGUCACCCAGGUGGUACUGGUUUUGAAGGCAUGAAGGAGUUGAGCAGAGCAGCUGAGGCUUGGCACUGUGAGAGGCCAUGGAAGGCCAUUGGUGAAAGUCCAGCCUCAGUUGCAAUUGAUGGCCCAGGACUGAAGGGGUCAUGCAGUGUUUUGGAGAUGCCAGUACCAUGAGAUGACCACCAAGAGCAGCAGCAGCAGUGGAGUACAGGCAUCUGGAGCCUAGAGGAUGACGCGUGUGCUACAAAGGGCAUGGCUGGAGAAGUGACCCAAGCCCUUGGAGGAGCCCAGAAGAUUGUAAGUUGGAUCCCAGACAUUGGACGGUUGGAGAUUGACUUUUGCUUUUGAUUGUGGCUGUGCCCUGAUAUUUUCCCUCUCGAAGGAAG
rnacentral:lncRNA from 1 species